GACAAAGCUGUCAAGGAUCUGGUGGU
rnacentral:piRNA from 1 species